AAAAAAGAGAGGGAGGAAGAGGAGAAGAGAGGAAGAGGAGGAGAGAGGAAAUGAAAUGAAAGGAUGAGGAAAUUUGCAUGGGCCUUAACCAAAAUGCAUCAUUUCUUUGCUAGAAAUGAUGACUUCUUUGGAGAAAACAUGCGGUUUAUUUUAUUUUUUUGAAAAUUUCAUCUUUUCCCUACCGUUCCUCUUCCUCCUCUUCAGAUUCCUCCUUCCCCCUUCUUAGAUUC